AUAUUUAUUGUAAGUGUUCAGGGACAAAAAAGUUAUUUUUUUCAUUAUUCUUAAAUUAAUCGACUGAUUAAUCGGUUAUUAGAAUUUUACUCUGCCAAAUGUUGGAAUCGGGAUUGGCCUAAAAAAAAUCCAUUUCAAUCCGGCCCAGCCAAUUAAAGUAAGCAAAGUCCGUCAGAAGUGAAGGACACCGCGACAGCCCUGCGAAGCGAACUAAGGAUCAUAAAAUAACUAUGUACCCCUAUAAGUCUGUUUCUGUGUUUAUGGGGACAGCUUGUCACUCUAUUUUAGGGCCUAGCAAGCUUUAGAGGCGCAACUUACUAGAAAUAGAGCCCAGCAAAAGGACCACUCUUACCGUCUGGGAUGUCUGCUAUGGUUUCACUUCGAUCAAUGCUCCGAUUUUUAGGGUCAAACCCCAACAGUCCUUCGCAGAAUGCUAACGCUCAAAUCAGCUGAAGUGAGCAGAGUGUUUGACAGCCUCAUCUGCUUUAUGCUGACGUGGGUGGAGGCUCCCAUCGUAAAUCAGUUGCUUCCACCCUUUUUCUUUCAGCCUAGAGUCUUCUUUGUGUAAGCUGAUAUCUCCUGAUCUUUGUUCUCUUGCGGUCUCUUUUUGGAAGAAGAUAACAAUAAGCUUCAGGCUUCCUCGGUUUCACCUAUCUGCACAAUGCUCGUCCCUCUGCCUCACACGGGACGAGAGUGACCACAGGGUGUUUUCUUCAGACUACCGCAGGUGUGGCUAUGCCGCACCUUCUUGUGUCAAGACCUCAAGCUUCACGAUGAGAGGACAACUUAAUUUGCCCGAAGCAGACUUGAGCAAUGUCUGUAUCAUUACAAGCUCAUACUACUCACAAAACGAUUGCCAUUUUCGGCUUUCGGAUUCACAUUUUAGCUUUCUAGACGAGGCAGCAAUGUACAGUGCAUGUAAAAUAUUUACACAUCCCUGUUCAAAUGUCGGCAUUUUGUGAUAUUAGAAAAUUAGACCUAGAUAAAUAAUUUCUAAACUUUUUCUACCAUCAGUGUGACCUAUAACCAGUACUUCCCAAUUAGAAAAAUAUAAAACGUAAUACAAUAACUUUGUUGCAUAAAUAUUCACAUCUUCAAACUAAUACUUUGUUGACAGCACUCAGUCUUUUUGGGUAUGAGUCUUAGUGUGACACAUCUUGAUGUGGCAAUAGGUGCCCACUCUUCUUUGCAAAACGCUCCCUCCCCCGUAGUCAAGACAUACAGUAGGAACAACAUGGGAGAUUGCUGUGACGUGUACUAAAUAGCCGGUACUUGCCAGAAAUUUCUGCUGCUCCAUUGAUGUUGAUGCUGGCGUGCCGGCAGCCUCCGUGACCAGUUUUCAUCUCAUCUUUUCUUCAGCUUUGGAGGGAGGUCCAGUUAUUAUUGUCACUGUUGUGCUGUAUUUUCUCCACUUGAUGAUGACUGUGUGUUUUUUACUCUUCUCACUGAUAACUUUUAACAGUGAGAUCCCUCUGAUUCUGUGGAAGCUCCUUGCGGAUCAUGGCUUGUGCUGUGAUGUGUCUACAAAAAUGACCCGAAAAGCCUACUAGAACAUCUGUACUUUGUUUUGGGUUCAUCAGAGGCACUUUAAAUGGUGGCAGCUGUGUGCUGAUUCACAUUUAACAUUAUUUUGAAUGUGAUUGAUUAAUUCUGGUCACUGAUGGUGUAGCGGUACACUCGCCUGACUUUGGUGCAGGCAGCGUGUGUUCAGUUCCCACUCAGUGACUGUGUGAAUGUGAGUGUGAAUGGUUGUCCAUGUCUAUAUGUUCCCUGUGACUGACUGGCGACCAGUUCAGGGUGUAGUCCGCCUUUAGCCCGAAGUCAGCUGGGAUAGGCUCCAGCGUCCUGCGACCCUAACCAGGAUAAGCGGUGUUGAAAAUGGAUGGAUGGAUGGAUGGUUAAUUCUGAACACAGCCACAUCUCCAAUUAUAAGACGGUGUGCACACUUCUGCAACCACAUUAUCUCAGUUAUUUUUACCUUCCCUCUCUAAAAGAAGUCGUUCUUUAUCAAUUGAGCUUUACAGGUUAUAGGUCACAUUAAAAAAAAAAAAAAAAAGUUUUGAAAAAAAUGUGUUGCAAAUCAAGUCAUUAGGACAAGCAGUACCAGAUUAACCUGCUAAAAUGUCCCAUUGAAACCCAGCAACAAAUACUAAUUGAAAAUGCAAAAGACGUCUUCUGUCCAACUGAUUCCCUCCCCCCCCCCAACUUAAAAAAUAAAUACAUGAUUUUAGCUUUAAUAGCAUUAGUAGAUAACAUUGUAAACAUUCAUACUGUAUGUUCCAAUGUAAGUACAGUACAAUAUGAAGUUUCUGUCCCCACAUGCUGAUGCGUUGUAUAUCAUUUUCUUUGUUAAUUUUGAUUGAAUUUAUGAUGCCGUUUUCUGCAUUAUACAUUUUUAUACCACAAUUUUAUUUUGUUGUGCCUUCAUACAGACUACAUCGGUUGCACAUGAUUAUAAUGUGUAAAGGCUUUAGAUUCAUCGUUCCAAAAAGUAAGACAUGAAAUGCUUUGGACACAGUCAUCAAACAGCACUAAAAAGCAGCUAACCAUCUACCUACAGGUAUAUGGAUCCCAUUCAUGCACGUACGGGGAUCAUUUAAGCACAAUAGCGCCAUCAGGUGGACAAUGUUUUGAACUAUGGUUAAUAAACAAAUUUCUGUGCUUCAGGGUGAAGCUGCUGUAUAUUUAAACUCACUAUGCUAUAUGGGUGUUUAUUUGACUACGGGCCUUUUUGUGUCCUUGAUGUAAAAUUUACAGAAAAAAUAUAUUUAAAUAGAUUUUUUUUCAAUAACCAGCAGUGGGCGUGCCAAGUGUGGUCUAAAAUUUCAUGUUAAUAUUAGUAUAUUUAGACAUUUUUUAAGCGGUUUAAUGGUGGUAUUUUACCGUUUUCACCCUGUCCCUAGCACAGGGUUUGGAUAUAUGACGCUCUUUCUUUCUACUGAAAAAAAUGCUAAAAUAGUGUAACUUUUACCAUAAAUUCAUUAAAGUAUAAUAGAAUUCAUGAUUUGUCAUCAUAUAUACAAAACAUUUCAAAUUUUGUCUUUUAUUUUUACUAAAACAUGUCUGUCCCUUAAAGUUGCUGUGAUUACCGCCACAUUGACCAUUUUCAGAUCAAAAAUGUUUAUUCAAAAUCUGAUUCUUUAAUUCCCUGUGUCAUUUUCUCUCAUCACUCAAGCACAUGCUAGUGCAGAGAGAAGUCAGGCGUUUUGAUAACUGGAAGAGAUCAGCAAUCCGGGAAACCUCUUGUCACCCUGUGAGAGAUAGACAAAAUUUCACACGCACACGCACGCACACACACAAUCAUUGUAUGUGUGUAAAUUUGGGAUCGUGAGAUUGGAAAUGGCAGCAGGGGUCAGUAAAGACCACUCAACCUUGUAGAAAAGCUGGACAACACCCAAAGAACACAAAGCAAAAUCAUUCAUGUCAAGGCCCCUGCACUCGCUGACACAGCUUGAGCCCGAUGGAGAGAUGUUUCAAUUCAGGCCCACAGAAAAAGAGAAGGGAAAAACACACACACGAGAUCCAAGGGCACUGGCAGGUUUCAGUCC